UACGUACUGCGCGAACGUUAUUCGGAAUCACUGGGCUUACAGGGUGCGUAGGCGGCCGUCCAGGUCUGAUGUGAAAUCCCCCGGCUCAACCGGGGAAUGGCAUUGGAAACCGGACGGCUCGAGGUAGCUAGAGGCAUGCGGAACUUCCGGUGGAGCGGUGAAAUGUGUUGAGAUCGGAAGGAACACCAGAGGCGAAAGCGGCAUGCUGGGGCUAUUCUGACGCUGAGGCACGAAAGCCAGGGGAGCGAACGGG
rnacentral:rRNA from 1 species